rnacentral:rRNA from 1 species
AACGAACGCUGGCGGCAGGCUUAACACAUGCAAGUCGAACGCCCCGCAAGGGGAGUGGCAGACGGGUGAGUAACGCGUGGGAAUCUACCCAGUUCUUCGGAACAACACAGGGAAACUUGUGCUAAUACCGGAUACGCCCUACGGGGGAAAGAUUUAUCGGGAUUGGAUGAGCCCGCGUUGGAUUAGCUAGUUGGUGAGGUAACGGCUCACCAAGGCGACGAUCCAUAGCUGGUCUGAGAGGAUGAUCAGCCACACUGGGACUGAGACACGGCCCAGACUCCUACGGGAGGCAGCAGUGGGGAAUAUUGGACAAUGGGCGCAAGCCUGAUCCAGCCAUGCCGCGUGAGUGAUGAAGGCCUUAGGGUUGUAAAGCUCUUUCAGUGGGGACGAUAAUGACGGUACCCACAGAAGAAGCCCCGGCUAACUUCGUGCCAGCCGCCGCCGUAA